rnacentral:tRNA from 15 species
AUUUUUCGACUCUGUAUCAUCGGUCUCGAAAACCGGAGUAGGGGCAACUCUACCGGGGGUUCAAAUCCCCCUCUCUCCGCCA